rnacentral:rRNA from 1 species
UACAGAGGUCUCAAGCGUUGUUCGGAUUCAUUGGGCGUAAAGGGUGCGUAGGCGGCGCGGUAAGUCGGGUGUGAAAUCCCGGGGCUCAACCCCGGAACUGCACUCGAUACUGCCGUGCUUGAGGACUGGAGAGGAGACUGGAAUUCACGGUGUAGCAGUGAAAUGCGUAGAUAUCGUGAGGAACACCGGUGGCGAAGGCGGGUCUCUGGACAGUUCCUGACGCUGAGGCACGAAGGCCAGGGGAGCAAACGGG